GACUUCAUGGUGUAGUGGAAUCACAUCUGUCAAUCACUCAGAAGGUCCCCAGAUCGAAACUGUGUGAAGUCA
rnacentral:tRNA from 1 species